UACGUAGGGUGCAAGCGUUUGUCCGGAAUUAUUGGGCGUAAAGAGCUCGUAGGCGGCCUGUUGCGUCCGCUGUGAAAUCCCGGGGCUCAACCCUGGGCGUGCAGUGGAUACGGGCAGGCUGGAGGCAGGCAGGGGAGAACGGAAUUCCCGGUGUAGCGGUGAAAUGCGCAGAUAUCGGGAGGAACACCGAUGGCGAGGACGGU
rnacentral:rRNA from 1 species